AAAGGUAUAUUUGCUUAAAUAUGUACCCAAUAGUUUUGUUUUGUGUUUUUGGGAUGUUUUUUCAUUGAUUUACUUCCCACAUUUUUUAAAAUGAAAAUUUUCAUAUCUAUGUUUAUGAUCAUUAACACAUAUUAUUAACCUUCGAACUCAGGGUUAACAAUAAACUGAUACAGAAGUUGGAGUUCUUUAACCACUUGCCUAAUGAUGUCACCGACAAUUUUUAUCAUAAUGAUUCGUUACAGAAAGCAACUCGACGAAACAAGUAACAAAUUGUCAACGUACACUUUCCAACAAUAGACGGGUAUCUAAUACAACAUUUCAAGUUAAAAAAAGUCACGAGUCUUUUAUGGAG
rnacentral:lncRNA from 1 species